rnacentral:rRNA from 1 species
UACGGGGGGGGGCAAGCGUUGUUCGGAAUUACUGGGCGUAAAGGGCUCGUAGGCGGCCAACUAAGUCAGACGUGAAAUCCCUCGGCUUAACCGGGGAACUGCGUCUGAUACUGGAUGGCUUGAGUUUGGGAGAGGAACGCGGAAUUCCAGGUGUAGCGGUGAAAUGCGUAGAUAUCUGGAGGAACACCGGUGGCGAAGGCGGCGUUCUGGACUGUUACUGACACUGAGGAGCGAAAGCUAGGGGAGCAAACAGG